UAGGGAAUCUUCCACGAUGGGCGAAAGCCUGAUGGAGCAACGCCGCGUGAGUGAUGAAGGUUUUCGGAUCGUAAAACUCUGUUGUUAGGGAAGAACACCCGAGAGAGGAUCUCGGACUGACGGUACCUAACGAGAAAGCCCCGGCUAACUACGUGCCAGCAGCCGCGGUAACACGUAGGUGGCAAGCGUUGUCCGGAUUUACUGGGUGUAAAGGGUGCUCAGGCGGAUUUGUAAGUCAGAGGUGAAAUCUUACAGCUUAACUGUGAAACUGCCUUUGAUACUGCAAGCCUAGAGUAUGGAAGAGAGUGAUGGAAUAUCUGGUGUAGCAGUGAAAUGCGUAGAUAUCAGAUAGAACACCAAUGGCGAAGGCAGUCACUUGGUCCAUUACUGACGCUAAAGCACGAAAGCGUGGGUAGCAAACA
rnacentral:rRNA from 1 species